rnacentral:lncRNA from 1 species
UAUGAAAAUCUAAGAAAACUCUAUGUAGAUCAUCUCAUCAUGUGUGAGUGGGAGAUGUUAGAAUAUAGGGCAUUCAUGAUAGGCUGACUCAUAUCAUGACCCGACCCAAGUUAAAUAUUUGAUUUAACUAUUUCAAAUUUGAAUCCAGAAGGAGGUGCCCACUUGGUGGUUAUGCGCCACUUGUUGGUUACGAUGUUUUGUGGGUGGCCCUUGGUUGUUAUGCUGAGA